GAGAAAUACUUCGAUGACAUUUGAACUUCUUCAUAAGUCCGUGCUAGUUUCAGAUCCACGUUGAACGUGAGAGCCUGAGAUGACAAGCAAGGAAAGGACCAGGAAGUAUAGGGAGAGGCUGAAUAAAGAUCCUCAGAGGAGAGAGAACAUCCUGAGAGAGAGAUGCAGAAAAUAUCAGGAGAAGAAAGCAUGCAGGAACAUUUUUCAGCUCAGUGUGAAGUCUGUGUCGCCAGCAACAAGGAAGACGC